CUCCUUGGCUGGAUCACCUCCUUAGAGUUUGAUCAUGGCUCAGGUUGGAUCGCCUCCUUAGAGUUUGAUCAUGGCUCAGAUUGAACGCUGGCGGCAGGCCUAACACAUGCAAGUCGAACGGUAACAGGAAGCAGCUUGCUGCUUCGCUGACGAGUGGCGGACGGGUGAGUAAUGUCUGGGAAACUGCCUGAUGGAGGGGGAUAACUACUGGAAACGGUAGCUAAUACCGCAUAACGUCGCAAGACCAAAGAGGGGGACCUUCGGGCCUCUUGCCAUCGGAUGUGCCCAGAUGGGAUUAGCUAGUAGUGGGGUAACGGCUCACCUAGGCGACGAUCCCUAGCUGGUCUGAGAGGAUGACCAGCCACACUGGAACUGAGACACGGUCCAGACUCCUACGGGAGGCAGCAGUGGGGAAUAUUGCACAAUGGGCGCAAGCCUGAUGCAGCCAUUGCCGCGUGUAAUAGAAAGAAGCC
rnacentral:sRNA from 1 species